GCAUGAUGAGAAGCUGAGACCUCAGGAUAAGGCCAUGGAGUUUUCCCUUGGCCUGCAGAAAGCUCUGAAGACAAUCAAAGGGUACACAAACGGAUUGUCCAAAUAUUCUGAACAUAAAAUGAUCUAAUCUUCUGAUAAAGCUGCUUUUGAAAAAGUUGUACAACACCCAUGCCCAUGAGACGACCCCAGGCAGCACCUAGAGCCAGCGACGGAAUGAAGACCCCACUGGACACGCUCAGUCCAUAUGUCCACACCGACAGCAAGAAGAAGAGGAUGAUAAAGGCAGUCAAGGCAACGGGACUGUAAGAAUCUGCAAACAGAGCCGGUGCUGGGGGUGAGCAGGGGCGACAGACCUGAGGGGGCCCUGCGAAAGGAGAUUCUGUGGAAUGAUGGAUACCUUGCCACAGGCGAGCCCACCAAGGAUGGAAAGAAUGACUCCCACAGUUUUAGCAAUGAAAGCACGAAGUGAAAGAAGACCAGGAACACGGAUACCAUUGAGGGUUCAUGUAAUGUCAGAAGGAUUCGUAGAUGAGGGACUUUGCACAGACUUACGCUCUUCCAGAACUGGUGUUUGUGGUGAAGGUGCUCACGUGACCAAGUAGCCAUCCUUACUGCCUG